rnacentral:snoRNA from 1 species
UAGAAGAUAUUUUCUAAAAUUUUUCAAUAUGUAGGCAUGGGCAUAAACUUUCUGAACACAAUUGUUAUGCAAAAGAUAAUAUCCAGAAUCUUCCAUGAGGAGGAGGCGUAGCGUUUCUUCCUGAGCGUGAAGCUGGCUCUUGGUGUUGCCUUGCUGCAACUGCCACUUGCCACUGAUGAGCAUUCUUGUUUCUUCCCUGGAGGGAGCAAGAGGGAAGGAAUGCAGUCUGAGUGGC